CUACGGGGUGCUGCAGCUAAGAAUCUUCCGCAAUGGACGAAAGUCUGACGGAGCGACGCCGCGUGGGUGAUGAAGGCCGAGAGGUUGUAAAGCCCUUUUCUGCUUGAGGAAUAAGCAUCGGAGGGAAUGCCGGUGUGAUGACGGUAGGGCAGGAAUAAGCCCCGGCUAAUUACGUGCCAGCAGCCGCGGUAACACGUAUGGGGCGAGCGUUGCUCGGAAUCAUUGGGCGUAAAGGGCGUGUAGGCGGAAAUGCAAGUCUGGUGUGAAAGACCGCAGCUUAACUGCGGGAGCGCGCUGGAAACUGCAUAUCUUGAGUUCCGGAGGGGGAGUUGGAAUUCCUGGUGUAGGGGUGAAAUCUGUUGAUAUCAGGAAGAACAUCGGUGGCGAAGGCGAACUCCUGGACGAGAACUGACGCUGAGGCGCGAAAGCGUGGGGAGCGAACAGGAUUAGAUACCCUCGUAGUC
rnacentral:rRNA from 1 species